rnacentral:tRNA from 1 species
GGGGAUUUAGCUCAGUGGCACAGCGCCUGCCUGGCAAGCAAGAGGUCCUGAGUUCGAUCCCCAGUACCA